rnacentral:rRNA from 1 species
AAGGGUCCGGCAGGCGGAUUUAUAAGUCAGUGGUGAAAUCCUAUCGCUUAACGAUAGAACUGCCAUUGAUACUGUAAGUCUUGAAUUCGGUCGGAGUGGGCGGAAUGUGUAGUGUAGCGGUGAAAUGCAUAGAUAUUACACAGAACACCGAUAGCGAAGGCAGCUCACUAGGCCUGAAUUGACGCUCAGGGACGAAAGCGUGGGGAUCAAACAGGAUUAGAUACCCUUGU